rnacentral:rRNA from 1 species
GAAGGCCCUCGGGUUGUAAAGCACUUUCAGCGAGGAAGAACGCCUAACGGUUAAUACCCGCUAGGAAAGACAUCACUCGCAGAAGAAGCACCGGCUAACUCCGUGCCAGCAGCCGCGGUAAUACGGAGGGUGCAAGCGUUAAUCGGAAUUACUGGGCGUAAAGCGCGCGUAGGUGGCUUGAUAAGCCGGUUGUGAAAGCCCCGGGCUCAACCUGGGAACGGCAUCCGGAACUGUCAAGCUAGAGUGCAGGAGAGGAAGGUAGAAUUCCCGGUGUAGCGGUGAAAUGCGUAGAGAUCGGGAGGAAUACCAGUGGCGAAGGCGGCCUUCUGGACUGACACUGACACUGAGGUGCGAAAGCGUGGGUAGCAAACAGGAUUAGAUACCCUGGUAGUCCACGCCGUAAACGAUGUCGACCAGCCGUUGGGUGCCUAGCGCACUUUGUGGCGAAGUUAACGCGA